AGAUAGGGACUAAUUGGGAGUAUAUUUGUGUAUAUGUAUAUUUAUAUAUAAGUAAAUAGGUGGGGGGGGCUAAAAAAUAAUUUAGGGUUGAUUUUGGUGCAUGGAGAUUAGGGCACUACAUUGUAGUUGCAAAUUCAAUUUGCUAUUGAUUUUCUGAUAUCAUAUUUAGUAUUUGUUUGGUUGGAUUUUUUAUUUUCACUUUUAACAAGUGUGACUUCUUUUGGUUAUUUAUUAUUGGUUAAAAUAGAUUUAAUAUUUUGUCUUGUAAUAAAAGACUCAAAAUAUUAAUAUGUUGGGUGGAGCUGGAGUAUACAAUAGAUCUAAUAGUAAUAGGCCUAAUAAUAGAUUUAACAUCCAGAUAAAUCUAGUCACAUUGAAGUCUAUGAACGCUGUGAUUAAAUCCUUAAAUACGAUAAGUGCGUUCUUCCUAUUAAUAUGUACUUUUGGGAUAAUUGGUUAGCGCAUACGAUGCACAAGUGGUGUGGUGCGGGUUUAAUUCUCACAUACUCUAUAUUAAUGGUGCAGGUGUUGGAGAAAGGGAGGAUUUAUAGCCACUUAUUAUUGGCUAAAAUAGAUUCAAUUUUCUGCUUUGUGAUAAUAGACGACCCAAGACAAUAGACCUGACGAUAAGAUGCCCAAUAAUAAACUAACGUUCAAAUAGAUUGAGUCGGAUCAAAAUCUAUAAGUGCUAUGAUUAAGUCUUUAAGUGCGAUGGACAUGUCUUCUCUAUCAGUACGCACUAGAAUUAAAUGGGAAAUACGCAUAAAAAAGGUAAUGUUAUAACUUUAU
rnacentral:lncRNA from 1 species